rnacentral:lncRNA from 1 species
CAGAACAUGUACAUUUUCAUUUAUAAGUAUUAUAUAUUUUUGGUAUAGUCAGACUCUGCAUCUCAUGUACCGAUCAAAUUGGGUAGUACAACAUUAAGGCACCCAAUGGUAUUGUGAAAUUUUAAGACUAGAAAUACAUUAUGACUAGAUAUUGGAGCUUUGAUCCUUAACUACAACUUUCCUUGCUUCUAUGGCUUUAAGCCAGAAGCUGAGCUUCUUUGAUUUUUCUUUUGUAUCGUCCAUUUUAGGUAGACACUACAUAAACCACUUGUGGCUCUGCCUCACUCCACCAAUUCCACAAUGUGGUAUCUGAUUGUUAGGACUCCACUGUCUCUCCCAACUUGUCAAAUUCACCAUAUGAGACACACAGAAUGCAUCCCAAGAAGAGGAGAUGGAACCGAUAGCAUUCAGUUUACUGGAAGCUGCUUUCUUUGGCCACUUGGUUUCUGAGGUGUAGUGCUGGAUGUGCUGUAGAGGGCAGAACUGCCUGUGAUGUGAUGACAUUCCAUUUCCUUUAUUGCAGCCCCAAAUUACAAGGUCCAUUCUCUGAUAACUAUGAUUUCUUGAAAGGUGUGCAUCCAUCUCUUUACUGUAAAGAAUAGAAGAGAAAUAGUGCCACUGUUUAAAGAAUGGUUUCAUACGUAAGAAAGGAUAAUUGCCACGGAAUCUGUGCAUAGCCUGAAAGAGUUUAUACUCUGACAAAAGCAUUUCUUUAAUGGCAACUCCCUGGGUGGAUUAAUGCUUCUGUCUGGGUUCUUCUCAACAGAGCUUAAGGGGCUGAAUGGGAUAGACAAUACAAAAAAACCCAAACAGACAAACUAGCAAAAACCUCCCCCAUUCCUUUUAAAACCUUUUGCUCUUGUGCAGCUGAAAAAGUGAAGCAACUAUUAGAAAUACCUCUUAACACUUAUUAAAUACUGAGCCUUCUACUGCUAAGCAGUGACUUAGGAAGUAAUGAAGCUGAAGCUAGACCUACUUUAAUAUUGAUUCUGGCCUGAAAUAAACGUUUAU